rnacentral:rRNA from 1 species
UACGUAGGGGGCUAGCGUUGUCCGGAAUCAUUGGGCGUAAAGCGCGUGUAGGCGGUUCGGUAAGUCCGCUGUGAAAGUCGGGGGCUCAACCCUCGAAUGCCGGUGGAUACUGUCGGACUAGAGUACGGAAGAGGCGAGUGGAAUUCCUGGUGUAGCGGUGAAAUGCGCAGAUACCAGGAGGAACACCAAUUGCGAAGGCAGCUCGCUGGGACGUUACUGACGCUGAGACGCGAAAGCGUGGGGAGCAAACAGG